GAUGAAGAACGUAGCGAAAUGCGAUACGUAAUGUGAAUUGCAAAUUCAGUGAAUCAUCGAGUCUUUGAACGCACAUUGCGCCCCCUGGUAUUCCGGGGGGCAUGCCUGUCCGAGCGUCAUUGCUGCCCUCAAGCACGGCUUGUGCGUUGGGCCCCGUCCUCCGAUUCCGGGGGACGGGCCCGAAAGGCAGCGGCGGCACCGCGUCCGGUCCUCGAGCGUAUGGGGCUUUGUCACCCGCUCUGUAGGCCCGGCCGGCGCUUGCCGAUCAACCCAAAUUUUUAUCCAGGUUGACCUCGGAUCAGGUAGGGAUACCCGCUGAACUUAAGCAUAUCAAUAAGCGGAGGA
rnacentral:misc_RNA from 1 species